UACGGAGGAGGCAAGCGUUAUCCGGAAUUAUUGGGCGUAAAGCGUCCGUAGGUGGUUUGCCAAGUCUGCUGUCAAAGGGUGGGGCUUAACCUCAUAAAGGCAGUGGAAACUGGCGAGCUAGAGUGCGGUAGGGGUAGGGGGAAUUCCCAGUGUAGCGGUGAAAUGCGUAGAGAUUGGGAAGAACAUCGGUGGCGAAAGCGCCCUGCUUGGCCUGCACUGACACUGAGGGACGAAAGCUAGGGGAGCGAAAGUG
rnacentral:rRNA from 1 species